rnacentral:lncRNA from 1 species
ACUGCUCCAAUUCUUAGAACGGAUCGGCGCUGGAGCUGGAGCUCGUCUUGUCCGACGGCGCUCCUGGGCGCUCCUCUCCCUGGUCCUCGGCCCUGUCAUCGCUGAUUGGUUGGAGCUCCCUGGCCCGACGGUCUUCUCUGCCCGAGCUCCCUCCCGGCGGCAAGCCGGUCCCGUUCAAUCCCGGCGGAGCUCCCAUCCAUCUCUUCCUCGCGCCUCGUCAGGUACGUGUUCCCUUAUCUUCUUCUUGUCAAUAAUCUGACUCAUGACGUGUUCCCUUAUCAGCUCGUCUUGUCAUCUUGGAGCAGUGUUUACUCUGUUUCUCUGGUUGUUAGCCACACUUGUCUAACCUGUAUAUUUGCUGAAUGUUGUGCCCAAAGGCACACUACAAUAAUCCAAUAAUUGUGCCUCUUUAAUUUGUAAUAUGUGGAGCUCCAAGCUGUUUAUUCUGGAACUUUUAGAACUAAAAUUGCAUGCUAAAUCACAUGGAAACAGUACCUUAAUACCUACAUGGCCAAUAUCUACCUCUAUUUUAGCAUUGUAUGCUUCUUUGUUUUGCAUUGAAGUUACUGUCGAGUUACCGCGCGGCCGUGCUGAACUUGAACUAUCAGGUUACCUCAGUAGCUUGUUUUCUGAAGUGAGCUGCCAAGUUUUCUGAAGUUAGCUGCCAAGUUUUCUCAAGUUUGUUAUAUGCUGCAUAACAAAGGUUUUGCCUAAGUGUGUACAUACAUAAUUCACCUGGGUUAUUUGACUUAAAUUGUGAUGUAGCUGAAGCUCACCUUUGGAAAUAGCUGACACACUUCUGGAAUGACUUCAACAAGAAGGUCGGCGCCUUUUCGGUAUACUAAUCUACUGACCACAACAAUAACUAUUUCAUCAUAGUUUAAGCGCUUGGGAGAGGGAGUAAACAUUGCAGUGUCAACUGCAUUAGGAACCAUGAAAACCUUCUCUAGAGAUAUCCCAGACCUCAAGACAGUGUUCUAUUUGCUUCUAAGUGAGACACAUAUUGCCUGAUCAAUAUCUGCAAGAGUAAACUGCAGCACCUUAUUCAUGUGAAUGCUUCCAGCAUCAGCAAAACCAUAAAGUGAGUGAUCUGUGAAGACAACUUUGUACCCCAUUGUCCUAGCAUGUAUUAAUGCUUCAUGACACAAUGUUGAAAAAGCUUGAUGUCCAUGCACGACAGAAAUCUUCUUGUUGAAAAAACUUUGUACCCCAUUGUCCAUGUGUUGCAAACAGAAAGCUAUAUAGUUUAUGAGGAAAAUAGGACCUUAUGGCCAAGCUUAAGUAGACAUUGUGACAGGUAGUAGAUAUGGCUUUCCACCCCACCAAAGUUUGGGAAGAAAAAGUUGAAUUCAUUACACUGGGCACACAUAGUUGAAGAUACAUCAUGAACUACAAGUUGAAAAUACAUUAUGGCCAAAACAAAGUUGAACUAAAAAUACAUCAUGAACAAGUCUCACAAAAUACAUUGGCCAUAGAAUACUACAUCAAAUUAAUACAUGGCUAUUGUCGAGGAGGCAGCUCUAUCACAGACAAAUAGCUCAGAUAGGCUCAUUCAUAUGUGAUAAAUGACGAUCAUUGAUCUCAUCCGAGUCAAAAGAAGAGUUGUCUUCAUCCGAACCACACUGCUCAGUACAAUCACAAUGAACAUCAGAUUUGAAAUCAUCGUACAUUCCAAGGGCUUCGUAAUCCUCAAGUAGAGGUUGCGGACCAAUAAGAACUUCCUCCAAAUCCCUGCUCAUAGUGUCUAGACCUUUUGCAAUUUCAGUAACAUCACUCAUGGCAUUAACCAAGCAAUUCUUGUGCACCAUAUCCAAAUACUCAGGCACAUGAUUGCGGUGGCUCAACUUCCUCAACUCAUCGGCAGAUAAUUGCAUCUGUCUAAUGGCGUCUAAAAGACCAUCCCAAACUCGAUUAUAUCUUUGCGCCUACAACCAAAUGAAUAAUGAGAUUCAAUAACACAUUAUAGUAUUGACUGUUACUAUUUAAUGUUAUUUACAGUAAAACAUACCGGAUCAUGUGUCCUACAUAAUCGAUGGCGCGGACGUAAUCUACUAGUGCCAUAAUCAAUGUUGCUCAUGUCGACGAUGCCUGUGCGCCUACUCCCAUCAAUCAGCCUAGUCCCAUUUGCAGCUUCUGCGACAUCUUUGCGUGUGUCAGCCCUAACAGGUCCUGAUCCGAUAGGAAUGGAUCUUGGAGAUUUCUCCAUGGCCGCGGGGAAGCAACCUACGACGAGCUGCUCAAGAUUGACGGCUACAGCGCUGACCUACGACGGGAGUCGAGCACCAGGGAGAGGAGCGCCAGGGAAGAGAACAGGGG